GAUGAACGCUGGCGGCGUGCCUAAUACAUGCAAGUCGAGCGAACAGACGAGGAGCUUGCUCCUCUGACGUUAGCGGCGGACGGGUGAGUAACACGUGGAUAACCUACCUAUAAGACUGGGAUAACUUCGGGAAACCGGAGCUAAUACCGGAUAAUAUAUUGAACCGCAUGGUUCAAUAGUGAAAGACGGUUUUGCUGUCACUUAUAGAUGGAUCCGCGCCGCAUUAGCUAGUUGGUAAGGUAACGGCUUACCAAGGCGACGAUGCGUAGCCGACCUGAGAGGGUGAUCGGCCACACUGGAACUGAGACACGGUCCAGACUCCUACGGGAGCCAGCAGUAGGGAAUCUUCCGCAAUGGGCGAAAGCCUGACGCAGCAACGCCGCGUGAGUGAUGAAGGUCUUCGGAUCGUAAAACUCUGUUAUUAGGGAAGAACAAAUGUGUAAGUAACUAUGCACGUCUUGACGGUACCUAAUCAGAAAGCCACGGCUAACUACGUG
rnacentral:rRNA from 1 species